ensembl:lncRNA
CCAGCAUGUCCCGUUCCACAAGCUUCAAUAAAACAAAUGUGACUGCUUUUUAUAACAACCUGCAGACAGUUCUUGCCUGCUACCUUUUUGAAGCAAAGGACAUUUGGAACGUGGAUGAAACAGGUACCACGACAGUCCAAGUGCUUGAUAAAAUAAUCGCCACCAAGGGGAAGCGCCAGGUCGAUGCAGUGACCUCUGGGGAGAGGGGGACAUUGCUCACCAUAGCCCUUGCAGUAAAUGCACAAGGCAAUUGCAUUCCCCCGUACUUCAUCUUUCCCAGGAAGGAAGACCACUUUGUGAGAAAUGGUCCCAUUGGCUCUGUUGGUUCUGCAAAUAGCUCAGGCUGGAUGCAGGAUACAGACUUUCUGGCCUUUCUCCAGACACACACCCGUGUGACCCUGGAGUCGAAGGUGCUUCUCCUCCCCGACAAUCAUUGGUCACACCUUUCUGUGGCAGCAAUUGACUUUUGUCGGUCAAACGGCAUAGUCCUACUAUUGUUCCCACCCCACUGCUCACAUCGUCUCCAGCCAUUGACAGGAGCGUCUUCAGUCCACUGAAGCGAUAUAUAAACACGGCAGCAGAUCACUGGAUGAGAACACACCCUGGAAAAACUUUGACCAUCUAUGAUGUUCCAAGACUAGCUCUGCCACGAGCAGCGACACCCAGAAAUAUAAUGUCUGGCUUUGUGUGCACUGGCAUCUGCCCCUUUAACCCAGAUACUUUUGAGGAGCGAGACUUUUCACCUGUCUACGUCACCGACCGCCCUUGUCCUUCAUUGGUACCAUGUGGUCCCACACCACAUUCCAACAAACAUCCACUCAGCCAGAGCCUGUUUGAGGGAGGGCUGCUGCCAGAGUAUCCUGGUGGUUCAACCAGGGACGCCUGUUUAGAGUCUGUCAUCCCUGACCACACAGCUGUCUGUUCAGUAAGCUGUCCCACCUGAAGAAGGCGGAAAAUGUCUGCUUGAUGUCCCGGGGGGAGAGACAGGCACACUAGUCUAGGCACUUCUUCUUUCCAGGCAUUCAUUUUCAGAAGCUGUACGUCCCUUUCCUAAGGCUGGUCCGAGAAAGGACACAAAAUGAAGAGGCAAAAGGAGGUCAACGGUGAUACUAAUGGACUCUCCGGGGAAGGCAGCUCUGGACGAGGAGCAAAAGAAGAGGAUCCAGAAGACGAAUCACUCCCAAUCCCAAUCGCCGGAGUACUGAUCACCUGCACCCAGCAAUCACUCACCUGGAUAAAGCCAUCAUCACGCCAGUACUCUGUCGUCCGGUCUACCGUUCACUACUCCGAACUGGUGCCUGACCCAUCUCCUCUAAACUUGCUCUUUCUCUGCCCUCAGAUCCCCAUUGACGUUCUCCAGUGAUUCUCCAUUGCUGUCUCCCCAUGUCUCACUCUCCAGAGCUCUGGGCUUCAUCCAUUCAGUGACUUACCAUAUCGUUGUCAUACUGCAUUCUGUAAAUAAACUAUCUGCUUAACUAACCCUCCGUCUGUAUCUUGGUUUGUGACACCUCACUAUCGAAAAC